rnacentral:rRNA from 1 species
GAUGAACGCUGGCGGCGUGCCUAAUACAUGCAAGUCGAGCGAACGGACGAGAAGCUUGCUUCUCUGAUGUUAGCGGCGGACGGGUGAGUAACACGUGGAUAACCUACCUAUAAGACUGGGAUAACUUCGGGAAACCGGAGCUAAUACCGGAUAAUAUUUUGAACCGCAUGGUUCAAAAGUGAAAGACGGUCUUGCUGUCACUUAUAGAUGGAUCCGCGCUGCAUUAGCUAGUUGGUAAGGUAACGGCUUACCAAGGCAACGAUGCAUAGCCGACCUGAGAGGGUGAUCGGCCACACUGGAACUGAGACACGGUCCAGACUCCUACGGGAGGCAGCAGUAGGGAAUCUUCCGCAAAGGGCGAAAGCCUGACGGAGCAACGCCGCGUGAGUGAUGAAGGUCUUCGGAUCGUAAAACUCUGUUAUUAGGGAAGAACAUAUGUGUAAGUAACUGUGAACAUCUUGACGGUACCUAAUCAGAAAGCCACGGCUAACUACGUG